rnacentral:miRNA from 1 species
AGGGCGGCGGCGGCGGCGG